CGAACGCUGGCGGCGUGCCUAACACAUGCAAGUCGGAUGCGAACGGGGGUUUCGGCCCCUGAGUAGCAUGGCAGACGGGUGAGGACCACGUAUCUGACCUGACGCGCGAUGGGGGAUAGUCCUGCGAAAGUGGGUUGAAUACCGCAUACGCUCUUUUCUGUCGAGGGAAAAGAGGAAAGUUGGCCUCUCCAUGGAAGCGAAUGUCGCGUGAGGGGGAUGCGUCCUAUUAGUUAGUUGGUGGGGUAACGGCCUACCAAGACGGCGAUGGGUAGCUGGUCUGAGAGGAUGAUCAGCCACACUGGGACUGCGACACGGCCCAGACUCCUACGGGAGGCAGCAGUGGGGAAUUUUGCACAAUGGACGCAAGUCUGAUGCAGCAACGCCGCGUGUGUGAAGACGCCUUUCGGGGUGUAAAGCACUGUCAGGAGGGACGAAGAGCCGGAGGGUGAAGAGCCCUUGGGUGUGACGGUACCUCCAGAGGAAGCCCCGGCUAACUCC
rnacentral:rRNA from 1 species